GGGUACCUCAGUUGGUUAGAGGGUGGUGCUGUUAACGCCAAGGUUGCAGGCUCGGUCCCUGUGUGGGACG